rnacentral:lncRNA from 1 species
UUUUUUGUUUGUUUUUUUUUUCUUGUUUGUUUUUGUUUUUGUUUUGAGACGGAGUCUGGUUCUGUCGCCCAUGCUGGAGUGCAGUGGCAUGAUCUCAGCUCACUGCAGCCUCCACCUCCCGGGCUGAAUGGACUCUACUGCCUCAGCCUCCUGAGUAGCUGGGACUACAAGCACAUGCCACCACAUCCAGCUAAUUUUUGUAUUUUUAGUAGAGACGGGGUUUCACCAUGUUGGCCAGGCUGGUCUCGAUUUCCUGACCUCAAAUGAUCCUCCCACCUCAGCUUCCCAAAGUGCUGGGAUUACAGGCAUGAGCCACCACACCUAGCCCAGGCUGGCUUUGGUCUGUCCCUGAAGUCACACCACAUGAGUCACCCAGCCUGGUGACAACUUGCUGGCAUCAGCAUCAGUGCACCCUUCCAAGUCUCUGUGGCCUGAAGAAAAUAUCAGUGAUAUAUGUAAGUUCCCUCAAACUCCCUGAGGUACCAAGAGAAACAAGGCUAGAACUCAGAUCUCCAUCUUAGCUAUCUACUCUGGGAAAAUCAACCUUCCUCUCUGGGCCUCAGCUUCCUCCUCUGUAAAGUGAAGGGUUAAGCUCUGUGAUCUCUAAAGUCCACUAAGCUUCUAACAUCAGUGGGUUUAUUCUACAUAAAACUGAGUUUCUCAGGUCUCUCUGACCUGUGGGUAGCACUGGUCACCUAUCACAGCCAUUCCCACACUUCACUGGCUCUUUCUCCCAUCGGAUCCUAGAGAACAUCAACUCCCCAUGAGAUCUCAGUCUCUGCAUCCCAGCGUCCCUUGGAAGUGUCUCUCAGGUGCUCAUAAGCCAACAAGUCACCAUUAGACACAAUGCAUCCAGUUGCAGCCACUGGAUUUUUCUCUUCUCCCACCUCACCCACCUAUGUUGCCUGCAUCUGAAGUCCCCCGGGAGUUGACAAUGCUUGCCUCCCAGCGGCCGUGGAUGCCAGUCCGUCACAAGAAUGCCAGUGUCCACGGCAAGGGUGCUACCUACCACUGCUCCCACAGCUGCUCCAAGUGCCAGCAGGCUGCUCUGGUCCAUUCAGAAGUGAGGAGAUUGUCCCUCUCCCCUCAGCAUCACAUGGGGUCACCCAGACCUUCAAAAGGGCCUCCUUGUGCCCUCAAGGGUCACAGAGACUCUUGUGUAAACAGUUUCUCAUUCUUUCCUUUAGGAGCCUCCUUUCCACCCGACUCAAAUGCAUGGCUAACUUCAAGGGUUCCUCCCCAUCCCCUGGUUCCUCCCAGUUAAGGGUGGGAGAGCCGUCCUGCAAAUCACCUCCUGGUCCCCGCCAGCCUCCCACCACUGCUUCUACAGACAUGAAUUCCAUUUUUAGGCUCAAGUUGAGACAUCCCCACUGUCCCAAGCAACUCUCAGUAUGCCAGACCACAAGAGCAGGUAAAAAUAAAGAAUUAUCUUCUCCAAUUCUUCCU